rnacentral:misc_RNA from 1 species
GAUGCUGCCGUGUCACAACGGCUCGUCUGAAAUGCCUGAGUGUACCCCUGCUUUGCGGCGUAUUCGGUGUGAUAAAUCUUCACCGGAGUUGGUCUUCGGGCCGCGUUUGCUUGACAUGGCUCUAUGCUUCCAACCGUCUUGUAAUGGACAAUCUCUGACAAUUUGACCUCAAAUCGGGUGGGACUACCCGCUGAACUUAA